CGAGGACGAGGACGAGGACAAGGACAAGGGCGAGACAAGCCUUUUGUCCUGCGUGUCCUGCUGCCUUUUCAAUAUGAAUAUGCAGAUAUGUUCAUAGAACAUACGUAGAACAUCCUCGUAUGGUUGGAUCUUCUCGAUCCUAUCCCUCAAUCUGCUUGUCUGUUUGUAUGCAAAGUGUUGACCUCGUCAGGGUAAUCGUUCCAUUAUUAACGGAUAUUCGCCCUCGAACAAUGUCACAGUCGUGCUGGCUGAUGGCUGAUCCGUUGGAGACCGACAGACAACCAAUACGGUACUAAGAACAACGCUAUUUUGCGUACCUGCCCAGGAUUAGACGGACUCGGCAAUGGCAGGCUAACAACACUUUCGAGGGCGGUGGAGGUGGAGCGACCGAGUUACGCCAACCCCUGCCAUACCCUGUGGUACUUCUUCCUGUCAGUUCUCUGGCAACUAACUAUGAGAGGAUAUCAGACAUCGUAGAAUAAAGUAUAGUAAUUUUCCACCUCAAAUAUUACGUAAACUUGUAUGCAUUAUUUGAUUUGCAAUAUUUCCAAAA
rnacentral:lncRNA from 1 species